rnacentral:rRNA from 1 species
AUUCCAGCUCCAAUAGCGUAUAUUAAAGUUGUUGCAGUUAAAACGCUCGUAGUCGGAUUUCGGGGCGGGCCGACCGGUCUGCCGAUGGGUAUGCACUGGCCGGCGCGUCCUUCCACCCGGAGACCGCGCCUACUCUUAACUGAGCGGGCGCGGGAGACGGGUCUUUUACUUUGAAAAAAUCAGAGUGUUUCAAGCAGGCAGUCGCUCUUGCAUGGAUUAGCAUGGGAUAAUGAAAUAGGACCUUGGUGCUAUUUUGUUGGUUUACGGACCGAUGUAAUGAUUAAUAGGGACAGUUGGGGACAUUCAUAUUGCAUGGCUAGAGGUGAAAUUCUUGGAUUCAUGCAAGAUGAACUACUGCGAAAGCAUUUGUCAAAGAUGUUUUCAUUG